rnacentral:rRNA from 1 species
CAGCACCUCAAGUGGACAGGAUGAUUAUUGGGCCUAAAGCAUCCGUAGCCGGCGCUGUAAGUUUUCGGUUAAAUCUGUACGCUCAACGUACAGGCUGCCGGGAAUACUGCAGCGCUAGGGAGUGGGAGAGGUAGACGGUACUCGGUAGGAAGGGGUAAAAUCCUUUGAUCUAUUGAUGACCACCUGUGGCGAAGGCGGUCUACCAGAACACGUCCGACGGUGAGGGAUGAAAGCUGGGGGAGCAAACCGGAUUAGAUACCCGUGUAGUCC